GAUGAACGCUGGCGGCGUGCCUAAUACAUGCAAGUCGAGCGAAUGGAUUGAGAGCUUGCUCUUAUGAAGUUAGCGGCGGACGGGUGAGUAACACGUGGGUAACCUGCCCAUAAGACUGGGAUAACUCCGGGAAACCGGGGCUAAUACCGGAUAACAUUUUGAACCGCAUGGUUCGAAAUUGAAAGGCGGCUUCGGCUGUCACUUAUGGAUGGACCCGCGUCGCAUUAGCUAGUUGGUGAGGUAACGGCUCACCAAGGCAACGAUGCGUAGCCGACCUGAGAGGGUGAUCGGCCACACUGGGACUGAGACACGGCCCAGACUCCUACGGGGGGUAGCAGUAGGGAAUCUUCCGCAAUGGACGAAAGUCUGACGGAGCAACGCCGCGUGAGUGAUGAAGGCUUUCGGGUCGUAAAACUCUGUUGUUAGGGAAGAACAAGUGCUAGUUGAAUAAGCUGGCACCUUGACGGUACCUAACCAGAAAGCCACGGCUAACUACGUGCCAGCCGCCGCAGUAA
rnacentral:rRNA from 1 species